UCGGGAAUUUUGGGCAAUGGGCGCAAGCCUGAUCCAGCCAUGCCGCGUGAGUGAAGAAGGCCUUCGGGUUGUAAAGCUCUUUCGGCAGGAACGAAACGGUUUUGGGCUAAUACCCCAGACUACUGACGGUACCUGAAGAAGAAGCACCGGCUAACUACGUGCCAGCAGCCGCGGUAAUACGUAGGGUGCGAGCGUUAAUCGGAUUUACUGGGCGUAAAGCAUGCGCAGGCGGCGGUUCAAGUCAGGUGUGAAAUCCCCGAGCUUAACUUGGGAAUUGCGCUUGAAACUAGAUCGCUAGAGUACGGCAGAGGGGGGUAGAAUUCCACGUGUAGCAGUGAAAUGCGUAGAGAUGUGGAGGAACACCGAUGGCGAAGGCAGCCCCCUGGGCCUGUACUGACGCUCAUGCAUGAAAGCGUGGGGAGCAAACAGGAUUAGAUACCCAAGUAGUCCCU
rnacentral:rRNA from 1 species